UACAGAGGGUGCAAGCGUUGUUCGGAAUUAUUGGGCGUAAAGCGCGUGUAGGCGGCCUGGCAAGUCGGGUGUGAAAGCCCUCAGCUCAACUGAGGAGGUGCGCCCGAAACUGCUAUGGCUUGAGUGCCGGAGAGGGUGGCGGAAUUCCCCAAGUAGAGGUGAAAUUCGUAGAUAUGGGGAGGAACACCGGUGGCGAAGGCGGCCACCUGGACGGUGACUGACGCUGAGACGCGAAAGCGUGGGGAGCAAACAGG
rnacentral:rRNA from 1 species